UUCCGGGACAGCCAGGGCUAUACAGAAAAACCCGGUCUCAAAAACAAAAAGCUCAACUCCCGAAAGAUGGAGCCUAAAUGGGUCGGGUGAGCAGUGGCCUGAGGUAGUAGAUUCAUGGAGCAUGCUCUCAGGUGGCAGCAUCCUCGACAGGAAGUGCUGGCCUUGCUCUGUCUGCCCUGUGAACUGAAAAAUGGGGCCAGCCUGGGAAGGAGACAGCAGGCUCUCCUAGGUUCAUCCUCCCCACCUCCAAUCUUUUUAGGGAAAGCCCCUGCUGGGAGACUGUAUGGCCCAGCAGGUAGAGCUGAGGCCCCAGCUACCAGAUGGCAUUCCUUUAGUGCCUUAAGGCUCUUACCCACCAGGACACCUGAAAGUUGAAAGGAUGCUUGCAGAGGGUGCUUCCCCAUGGGGAGCGGGAAAAGCCAGCUAGGACCUGGCUGUUGCAUGUGUUUGAAGAGGUCUGGUUCCCAGGACCCAGGGUGGGUGUAGAUGGCAAAGUGAAAGAUACACAAACAGGCACUGGAGUUAGGGCCAGCUCACUCUAACAUCAGACCUGAUUUUGGCUGAAUUGCCACCUCUAAAAGGUCUCUGGAGGCUUGGCUACCCAGUCGCUUGUACUUCCUCUUUUGGCAGAGAUGCUCCAUUGCAACUCUGCAGGCUGCUCCAAACUUUACCCAGCUCAGAGCUCACACUGUCUCCAAUGCUUGCCCUCCUCUCCAUUCAGGCCUUUACCCUGUAUCACUGACUCAGAGACUGUCACUCCACGUACCCUCUCUGGCCUGGGAGGGCAGUGCUAACAUCAUCCUCAGCCGCCAGUGAUUCACAAGUAUGCCCCCUCCUGGGAACUGCCUCCUUCCAAAUCUUAUGGUCUCCUAGGCAGUGGUCAGUAGCUGAUGUGGGCCAAGGUGGUGCUAUCUUGUCCCAAUGUAGAGGUUUUCUAUGUAGGAAUGCAAAUCCUGUGGCUGCAGGGCCUAUUUCGUCUGCUCAGCAUCCACAGCCUUGGAUCAGAGGUCUGGCACAUACUAGACACUCAGGGAACUAUUGAGAAUGGAUCUCAUGGCUGCCAACUUGUCAUCCAAGACAAGGAAGACAUCCUAGAGUUGGCUGUAAGUAAAUUCAUGUCUCUCGAAGCUCCCAGGAUGGGAGUGGGCAGUUCAGGUUUCCCCGUACCCUCAGCAUUCAUACGGGCAUAUUAAAAAGACAGUUUUUGGGUUCUAUGCCUGCUUCAAGGGACUUGAAUAAGUAAACUGAGCCUGGGUAGCUCCCUCCAGCCUUCCAAGUGAAAUCACAAGGGAUCUGGCAAGCAUCGCCUGGGACCACCGAGGACUAGCCUCAGAGAAAAGUCAGCAGAAAGUGAACCCCUUUCAGCUGGGGCUUCUAAAACCUCCAAAGUGAUCCGAGGAAAGUCUGAUUAGCUGCAGCCCACCAAAGGUGAAAGAUGGUGUGCAGGAGCUUAGUGCCCACUCUGCAGAGGACCUGGGGCAGCUGGAUCCUGAAGGCUGUGGGGAUGGCCUCCUCCCAGGCCAGGCAUAAGUCCUGUGAGACUAAACUGAGCCAACCUUUCUCCCUCAUCCU
rnacentral:lncRNA from 1 species